AAUACCGGAGAAUGUUAUCACGGGAGACACACGGCGGGUGCUAACGUCCGUCGUGAAGAGGGAAACAACCCAGACCGCCAGCUAAGGUCCCAAAGUCAUGGUUAAGUGGGAAACGAUGUGGGAAGGCCCAGACAGCCAGGAUGUUGGCUUAGAAGCAGCCAUCAUUUAAAGAAAGCGUAAUAGCUCACUGGUCGAGUCGGCCUGCGCGGAAGAUGUAACGGGGCUAAACCAUGCACCGAAGCUGCGGCAGCGACGCUUAUGCGUUGUUGGGUAGGGGAGCGUUCUGUAAGCCUGCGAAGGUGUGCUGUGAGGCAUGCUGGAGGUAUCAGAAGUGCGAAUGCUGACAUAAGUAACGAUAAAGCGGGUGAAAAGCCCGCUCGCCGGAAGACCAAGGGUUCCUGUCCAACGUUAAUCGGGGCAGGGUGAGUCGACCCCUAAGGCGAGGCCGAAAGGCGUAGUCGAUGGGAAACAGGUUAAUAUUCCUGUACUUGGUGUUACUGCGAAGGGGGGACGGAGAAGGCUAUGUUGGCCGGGCGACGGUUGUCCCGGUUUAAGCGUGUAGGCUGGUUUUCCAGGCAAAUCCGGAAAAUCAAGGCUGAGGCGUGAUGACGAGGCACUACGGUGCUGAAGCAACAAAUGCCCUGCUUCCAGGAAAAGCCUCUAAGCAUCAGGUAACAUCAAAUCGUACCCCAAACCGACACAGGUGGUCAGGUAGAGAAUACCAAGGCGCUUGAGAGAACUCGGGUGAAGGAACUAGGCAAAAUGGUGCCGUAACUUCGGGAGAAGGCACGCUGAUAUGUAGGUGAAGUCCCUCGCGGAUGGAGCUGAAAUCAGUCGAAGAUACCAGCUGGCUGCAACUGUUUAUUAAAAACACAGCACUGUGCAAACACGAAAGUGGACGUAUACGGUGUGACGCCUGCCCGGUGCCGGAAGGUUAAUUGAUGGGGUCAGCGCAAGCGAAGCUCUUGAUCGAAGCCCCGGUAAACGGCGGCCGUAACUAUAACGGUCCUAAGGUAGCGAAAUUCCUUGUCGGGUAAGUUCCGACCUGCACGAAUGGCGUAAUGAUGGCCAGGCUGUCUCCACCCGAGACUCAGUGAAAUUGAACUCGCUGUGAAGAUGCAGUGUACCCGCGGCAAGACGGAAAGACCCCGUGAACCUUUACUAUAGCUUGACACUGAACAUUGAGCCUUGAUGUGUAGGAUAGGUGGGAGGCUUUGAAGUGUGGACGCCAGUCUGCAUGGAGCCGACCUUGAAAUACCACCCUUUAAUGUUUGAUGUUCUAACGUUGACCCGUNAUCCGGGUUGCGGACAGUGUCUGGUGGGUAGUUUGACUGGGGCGGUCUCCUCCUAAAGAGUAACGGAGGAGCACGAAGGUUGGCUAAUCCUGGUCGGACAUCAGGAGGUUAGUGCAAUGGCAUAAGCCAGCUUGACUGCGAGCGUGACGGCGCGAGCAGGUGCGAAAGCAGGUCAUAGUGAUCCGGUGGUUCUGAAUGGAAGGGCCAUCGCUCAACGGAUAAAAGGUACUCCGGGGAUAACAGGCUGAUACCGCCCAAGAGUUCAUAUCGACGGCGGUGUUUGGCACCUCGAUGUCGGCUCAUCACAUCCUGGGGCUGAAGUAGGUCCCAAGGGUAUGGCUGUUCGCCAUUUAAAGUGGUACGCGAGCUGGGUUUAGAACGUCGUGAGACAGUUCGGUCCCUAUCUGCCGUGGGCGCUGGAGAACUGAGGGGGGCUGCUCCUAGUACGAGAGGACCGGAGUGGACGCAUCACUGGUGUUCGGGUUGUCAUGCCAAUGGCACUGCCCGGUAGCUAAAUGCGGAAGAGAUAAGUGCUGAAAGCAUCUAAGCACGAAACUUGCCCCGAGAUGAGUUCUCCCUGACUCCUUGAGAGUCCUGAAGGAACGUUGAAGACGACGACGUUGAUAGGCCGGGUGUGUAAGCGCAGCGAUGCGUUGAGCUAACCGGUACUAAUGAACCGUGAGGCUUAACCUU
rnacentral:rRNA from 1 species